rnacentral:rRNA from 1 species
GCAUAUCAAUAAGCGGAGGAAAAGAAACCAACCGGGAUUGCCCUAGUAACGGCGAGUGAAGCGGCAACAGCUCAAAUUUGAAAUCUGGCUCUUUUAGAGUCCGAGUUGUAAUUUGCAGAGGGCGCUUUGGCUUUGGCAGCGGUCCAAGUUCCUUGGAACAGGACGUCACAGAGGGUGAGAAUCCCGUACGUGGUCGCUGGCUAUUGCCGUGUAAAGCCCCUUCGACGAGUCGAGUUGUUUGGGAAUGCAGCUCAAAAUGGGAGGUACAUUUCUUCUAAAGCUAAAUAUUGGCCAGAGACCGAUAGCGCACAAGUAGAGUGAUCGAAAGAUGAAAAGCACUUUGGAAAGAGAGUCAAACAGCACGUGAAAUUGUUGAAAGGGAAGCGCUUGCAGCCAGACUUGCUUGCAGUUGCUCAUCCGGGCUUUUGCCCGGUGCACUCUUCUGCAGGCAGGCCAGCAUCAGUUUGGGCGGUAGGAUAAAGGUCUCUGUCACGUACCUCUCUUCGGGGAGGCCUUAUAGGGGAGGCGACAUACUACCAGCCUGGACUGAGGUCCGCGCAUCUGCUAGGAUGCAGGCGUAAUGGCUGUAAGCGGCCCGUCUUGAAACACGGACC